UGAGGCUAAUCCCCGAUAGGUGGGGGANGUUGGAAUGCNNNNNNNNNNAAGCUUCGGCGCCCUAGGAUGGGACUGCGGCCUAUCNNGNUGUUGGUGGUGUAACGGACCACCAAACCUACAACGGGUACGGGCGAUGGGAGUCGGAGCCCGGAGAUGGGGACUGAGACAAGGCCCCAGGCCCUACGGGGCGCAGCAGGCGCGAAAACUCCGCAAUGCGUGAAAGCGUGACGGGGGAACCCCAAGUGCCGUUGAUCUUUGAUCGACGGCUUUUCGGAAGUCUAAAAAGCUUCUGGAAUAAGGGCUGGGCAAGGCUGGUGCCAGCCGCCGCGGUAAUACCAGCAGCCCGAGUGGUGGUCGUGAUUAUUGGGCCUAAAGCGCUCGUAGCCGGGCCAGUAAGUCCCUUGUGAAAUCGGACGGCCUAACCGUUCGGCUUGCAAGGGAUACUGUUGGUCUUGAGGCCGGGAGACGUCUGAGGUACUCCAGGGGUAGCGGUGAAAUGCUGUAAUCCUUGGGGGACCACCGGUGGCGAAGGCGUCAGACGAGAACGGACCUGACGGUGAGGGGCGAAGGCUAGGGGCGCGAACGGGAUUAGAUAUCCCGGUAGUCCUAGCUGUAAAGCAUGCGGGCCAGGUGUCUGGCGCUCUUUGAGGGCGCCAUGUGCCGGAGGGAAGCCGUUAAGCCCGCCGCCUGGGAAGUACGGCCGCAAGGCUGAAACUUAAAGAAAUUGGCGGGGGAGCACCACAAGGGGUGGAACCUGCGGUUCAAUUGGAUUCAACGCCGGA
rnacentral:rRNA from 1 species